rnacentral:rRNA from 1 species
UACGGAGGGUGCGAGCGUUGUCCGGAAUCAUUGGGCGUAAAGGGCGCGUAGGUGGUGGCUUAAGCGUGCGGUGAAAGCUCGGGGCUCAACUCCGAGUCGGCCGUGCGAACUGGGCUCACUGGAGCAUAGUAGAGGCAGGUGGAAUUCCGGGUGUAGCGGUGGAAUGCGUAGAGAUCCGGAAGAACACCGGUGGCGAAGGCGGCCUGCUGGGCUAUGGCUGACACUGAGGCGCGGACAGCGUGGGGAGCAAACAGG